AUUGUGUUGUAUAGAAAUGUUUUCCCUGUCCCUGCGCUGCCGUUUAGAAAAAAGGAAAAUGUUUUAGCUUCUUGCCGGAUACGCGCAGUAGUUUGUCCAACAGGGGGCCUCUGGAUUCCUAUCACCGCAUGGACCGUGCACCAUACACUUCCUUAUUGUAUUAAAG